CUGGCUCAGGUGUUUGACUGGAGUUACUUCACCAGGAAGAUCAAUGGGGACUGUCGGCAUCACUGUGCCUGAACAGAGAGUGUCAUCAACUACGCACCUAACUACUACAGACGACUCAACCUAUCCUAGCCAAGAACACUAAGAGAGACCUGCAGAACUACAUUGUGUGGCGUUUCGUCAUGAACAUGGUGGUGGGUCUGAGCAGGCAGUACAGGGACACCAGGAAAGCCUUCCGCAAGGCGCUGUACGGUACCACGUCGGAGGCGGCGGUGUGGCGGCAGUGUGUCAUCUACGUCAACAACAAUAUGGACAACGCUGUCGGAAGACUGUACGUAGAGGAGGCCUUUUCUGGGGAGAGCAAAGCACU